UACGAAGGGGGGCUAGCGUUGCUCGGAAUCACUGGGCGUAAAGGGUGCGUAGGCGGGUUUUUAAGUCAGAGGUGAAAUCCUGGAGCUCAACUCCAGAACUGCCUUUGAUACUGAAAGUCUUGAGUAUGGGAGAGGUGAGUGGAACUGCGAGUGUAGAAGGUGAAAUUCGUAGAUAUUCGCAAGAACACCAGUGGCGAAGGCGGCUCACUGGCCCAUAACUGACGCUGAGGCACGAAAGCGUGGGGAGCAAACAGG
rnacentral:rRNA from 1 species